UGCAGCUAACGCAUUAAGUAAUCCCCCUGGGGAGUACGACCGCAAGGUUGAAACUCAAAAGAAUUGACGGGGGCCCGCACAAGCGGUGGAGCAUGUGGUUUAAUUCCAAGCUACGCGAAGAACCUUACCAGGUCUUGACAUCUUCUGCCAACCUAAUAGAUUAUGCGUUCCCUUCGGGGACAGAAUGACAGGUGGUGCAUGGUUGUCGUCAGCUCGUGUCGUGAGAUGUUGGGUUAAGUCCCGCAACGAGCGCAACCCUUAUUACUAGUUGCCAGCAUUCAGUUGGGCACUCUAGUGAGACUGCCGGUGACAAACCGGAGGAAGGUGGGGACGACGUCAAAUCAUCAUGCCCCUUAUGACCUGGGCUACACACGUGCUACAAUGGAUGGUACAACGAGUCGCGAAACCGCGAGGUUUAGCUAAUCUCUUAAAACCAUUCUCAGUUCGGACUGUAGGCUGCAACUCGCCUACACGAAAUCGGAAUCGCUAGUAAUCGCGGAUCAGCAUGCCGCGGUGAAUACGUUCCCGGGCCUUGUACACACCGCCCGUCACACCAUGAGAGUUUGUAACACCCAAAGCCGGUGGGGUAACCUUUUAGGAGCUAGCCGUCUAAGGUGGGACAGAUGAUUAGGGUGAAGUCGUAACAAGGUAACCGUAAGGCG
rnacentral:rRNA from 1 species